AAGGAUCAUUACCGCGAGGCCGACGGGCGACUGCGCCCGCGCCUUCACACCCCUUGCCUACCCACCCUGUUGCUUCGGCGGGCCGCGGGGACGCCCGCUGCCGGCUCGCGCCGGCGAGAGCCCGUCCGAGGACCUCGAAACCCCCAUCACCGCGGUCGGAGCAGAGCAGCGAAGCGAAGCAAAACCUUCAACAACGGAUCUCUUGGUUCCG
rnacentral:misc_RNA from 1 species